AGCUUCCGAAUCGGAAUUGGUUCCGCCGCGAGGCGGAUGAAAAGGGAACACGGUGAGGCCGAGCAAUCGGACGAAGCCGCGACUGCCCCCGCAACUGUAACCGUUGAGCCUUCUUCCACGAUGCCACUGGCGCUGACGCGACCGGGAAGGCGGAAGAGAGCGAUGACACGGAAGUCAGGAGACCUGCCUGUUCCGGUCACCCAUG
rnacentral:ncRNA from 2 species